UACAGAGGUCUCAACCGUUGUUCGGAUUCAUUGGGCGUAAAGGGUGCGUAGGCGGCGGGGUAAGUCAGGUGUGAAAUCUCGGGGCUCAACCCCGAAACUGCACUUGAUACUGCCUCGCUUGAGUACUGGAGAGGAGACUGGAAUUUACGGUGUAGCAGUGAAAUGCGUAGAUAUCGUAAGGAAGACCAGUGGCGGAGGCGAGUCUCUGGACAGUUACUGACGCUGAGGCACGAAGGCCAGGGGAGCAAACGGG
rnacentral:rRNA from 1 species